UUAUAUUCUGGAUCUUCAUCCUCUCUGUCGAAUUCACCUCCAUCACCGCCAUCUGCUAACAUGUCUGUCCCUCUCUGUUCAGCAGCUAUGGCCUUUGCAUCAGGCAUGCCAACCCGUUCCAGAAAGCACAGUGUUGAAUCAGCUCUCAUGGAAUUGUACUUCUCAUAACCGUGUUUGAAUACUCCAAUUAAAAGGGAUUUAUCUGCCUCCUUAUCC
rnacentral:lncRNA from 1 species